CAACAUUUGGAAAAGUGCAGGACGGUUUGACAGCCCUUUCCCAGCUCACUCUGGUAACAGCUGCUGAGCCAUGACAUGUAUCAAAAGAUGGACCACAUUAUGAGGGACUACUCAAAUCGGCUAUGAAGCUAUCAAUGAGCAACCCAAAAAGAUCCGAGUCUUCUGUCCUAAGGCACAUUUUCCCCUGUGAAGCAAAUUCAGCAAUCUGCAGCCUGAGCUUGGGCAGUCAGAAGGCAAAGUAUGUUUUUGGCAUGAUCGAGCCUGCAGAUAAAGACUGAGUGGCGAUAGAAACUUUUAAAUCAUGGAUGUGGCUUGUGCUAGAUUGAUAUUGGACCUUCAAGAUAAAGGUAUUUCUAAACAAGUUCUUUAAGUGACAUUGUGUCAAAGUCCUGUGAAAAUGCUGCAGUUAAAAUAUUCAGUCUUCAAAUAUAAUGGGAUUCUUUCAAGUAUAUCAUAAAAUACUACUAGGAGGUUUGGUCCCAUAGCAAAGUGGUUAAUCACUGUGCACUGGGAGCUGGAUCCCA